AAUGUAGAAGUUUAAAAUGUAUAAAUUUUAAGCUACUACUGGUU
rnacentral:precursor_RNA from 1 species